rnacentral:lncRNA from 1 species
GGCCUCCCUCGCGUGGCUGCUCAGUAUUGUUUGCGCUCAGCCAGGGUGACCUGACGCCCGCUUUGGAAAACUGCUGAACAGCGGGCGGGCGCAGUGGUUUCUUGCAAGGUCCCAGGCAGAGCGGAAUGCAUACACCAGGAAGCCAGCAGGCCUGUCCGGAGAGGCACGGCUCACAGCCUCCGGACUGGAGAGAGCCCAGUUGCUGGGCUUCCGAGCCUUCCUCCCCUGCCCACGACUAAGGAAUGAGCCCUUCUCUGCGCCUGGCCCUGCUGCGCGGAGCCGCAGAGCUGAAAGUGAAAGGUGAGGGCCCCCUUUCCCACGGCCAGAAGAGGGGCGUGGGUGCCGCGGGACUCCCCGGCGGCGGCGGCGGCGGCGGCGGCGGCGGCGGGAGCGCAGUCUGCGAGAGCCCUGGGACCUGGAAGGAGAAGCUGAUGUCGUCUCCGCCUGGCCCUGACCCCUCCAGCGAGUGAGUGACUCCUUCCUCCGGAGCCGACCCUUCACCAGAGAACAGGCUCAGGAUGCCCUGGCCCUGUCUGUGCAGCAGGGACCAUUGCCCUUGGAUACUGCUGACCCCUAGGGACUGCCCAGUGCCUCACAUACAGUAGGUGCUCUUGACAUGUGUCACGUGGGUGACUAAAUGGCAGACCGUGCUUUCUACCCUCAUGGGUUGUGAGGGUUACUGUCGGUGACAGUAUCUUCACAGGCUGUAUCCUCCAAGCUUGCUUUGACUUCUCUUUCUUGUGUUGAGAGCCUUAUGUCCACAGGAGAAGAGCUCCAAGGCUCUAGGUUUCCCUCCCACCUCAGGACCUUUGUACAUACCACGCUCUCUGCCCAGAAUGCUUUUCCCCAGCUUGUCUGCAUUCUCCCCCUCAGGUUUCAAUGUCAGUGAGAAUGAAAUGGCUUUCUGAAGGAGCCCCUCCACUGUGUUUCUCUCCUCUGCAGCAGUUUCCAUAGUGGGCUUGGUUUGGUGACUGGUUCUGGUGACCUUUCUCUGCCCGGAACACCAGCCCCACAGGGCGGGGACUUGCCUGUUUGCUCACCCCGGCAUUCCUAGUGCGCUGGCACACAGUAGGUGCUCAGUGAGGAGAGAGGGCUGGUGACUGAAUGUGUGCGCAAGAGCUGCUGGGCAGGGUCAUGCAAGGAGCAGCGGCCCCUGAGGGUCUCGGUCUCCCCUUCAGCCUUGUCACUGUCCCCAGGAGCCCCGAGGCUCCUACUUGGGGCCACACCCUCAGCUCCCAAUCUGAGUGAUGUGCCCGUGACAGCAGGUAGCAACGGGGACAGUCCAGAGAGGGUGCUGGUUUGCCCAGCAUCACACAGCAGGUGCUCAACUGAGCAGGGGUCUAGCUGGGCUGGGAAGAACUGGCCAAGUGGCUGUGGGCGGAAAGGAGACUGCAACAGCUCAAGCUGGGACGUGGCCACCUCUUGUGCUUCUCUGAGCCUCACAUGGCAUCUGUGGAUUCCCCUGCCCUGGCAGCCAUGAACCCGUGCCAGACCCACACCAGGACGGUGCAGACGAAGCACGGAAAAGAAGGCGCUCUAGACCACAGCUCGAGGCUACGUCAGGAGCCAGCAAGCUGCGCUCUGCCUCCAGCCACCCGGCCUGGGCCAGGAGGCCGACUGUUACUGAUGUGGAGACAGACAGGGAUGCUCCUGGCUGCCCAUCAGGGCCUUGGCAGACGAGGGAGCAGAGCCUGGAGAAGCCCAGAGUCCUGGCCAUGGGACACAGGACCCCGAGGGGGCCCUGGAGACCGUUGCUCUCGCUGGGCUGCAGAGAGCUGCAGGUGGGGUCCCUGCUGCAGGUGUCCUGGCAGCUGGGGCGCUUGCUGGGGCCCUGCCCGGCCUGGGGAAUGUUCUCAGAUGGUGUAGCAGUUCCAGGUUUACUCAGAGCUCUCUUCUGAGCUGUCAUGAAAAGUCCCUUUGGCCUGGGGCCCGGGCAGGCUGGGGCGGUGGGGCCUGUGAGCCUUGGGGGGGGGCGAGGGUCCUCCCAGCUCCCUCCCCAACUCAGCAGGGCCUGGAGAAGCAGGGGAGAGAGGGGCAGGGGGCAAGAAGACCCUCGUCUUGGGGCUCUCUUUUCUUCCCUUCACAAUGGCCUCCUGGGUGACCCUAGAAAAUGCCCCUCCCUCCCCAGCACUCAGUUUCCCUGUCUGUCAAAGGGGUGUAGAAUCACCCUAAAUCAGAUCCAUCAUUAGGUGAGGACUCAGUACAUGCUGGUGUUCCAGCCAGUGACAAGACUAUUAUCACCAAAAAUAAAGUAAAACCUAAC